GUGUGUUAUGUGUUGUGUGUUGGUGGGGCAGAUUCUUGCGAGCACUUUGGUCUCAGAUGGACCUGCUACCAGUUCUCUCUGCAGACCCCCAUAGGUUUCUCCUAAACCUGGCCUCUCCUAUUAGGCAGCCUUACUCAGCGGCAGCUUCUCAGCUCCAUGUUUUCAAGGAACCACAAUUUAUUUCCAGCAUCCACUGAAGCAUAUUAUCAGUGGUGAUAGAGGGGGCUUGUAAAACUGUUUUUCCACUUAGGUAUUAGAGGGUGGCCAUUAUUUGAGAGUGACUAUGACCACAGUUAAUCUGGUAAUAAAUUCUCUUGGGUAGGAGGAAAGGAAAGGAUGCUUUAAGGAAGCAUCUUGCCAGGAGACACAAAGCU
rnacentral:lncRNA from 1 species